GAUGAACGCUGGCGGCGUGCUUAACACAUGCAAGUCGAACGAAGCACUUUGGACAGAUUCUUCGGAUGAAGUCCUUAGUGACUGAGUGGCGGACGGGUGAGUAACGCGUGGGUAACCUGCCUCAUACAGGGGGAUAACAGUUAGAAAUGGCUGCUAAUACCGCAUAAGCGCACAGCAUCGCAUGAUGCAGUGUGAAAAACUCCGGUGGUAUGAGAUGGACCCGCGUUGGAUUAGCUAGUUGGCAGGGUAACGGCUUACCAAGGCGACGAUCCAUAGCCGGCCUGAGAGGGUGGACGGCCACAUUGGGGCGGAGACACGGCCCAGACUCCGACGGGAGGCAGCAGUGGGGAAUAUUGCACAAUGGGGGAAACCCUGAUGCAGCGACGCCGCGUGAGCGAAGAAGUAUUUCAGUAUGUAAAGCUCUAUCAGCAGGGAAGAAAAUGACGGUACCUGACAAAGAAGCCCCGGCUAACUACGUGCCAGCCGCCGCAGUAA
rnacentral:rRNA from 1 species